GGUGCUGUGGCGUAGUGGGUAAAGCUGCCGCCUGCAGUCCCAGUAUCCCAUAUGGAUGCUGGUUCAAGUCCUGCCUGCUCCA
rnacentral:tRNA from 1 species